CCGCUGAAACUUAAGCAUAUCAAUAAGCGGAGGAAAAGAAACCAACAGGGAUUGCCCCAGUAACGGCGAGUGAAGCGGCAACAGCUCAAAUUUGAAAUUCKGSCCUUCCGGUCCGAGUUGUAAUUUGCAGAGGAUGCUUUUGGCGAGGUGCCUUCCGAGUUCCCUGGAACGGGACGCCAUAGAGGGUGAGAGCCCCGUCUGGUCGGACACCGAGCCUCUGUAAAGCUCCUUCGACGAGUCGAGUAGUUUGGGAAUGCUGCUCAAAAUGGGAGGUAUAUGUCUUCUAAAGCUAAAUAUUGGCCAGAGACCGAUAGCGCACAAGUAGAGUGAUCGAAAGAUGAAAAGCACUUUGAAAAGAGGGUUAAAAAGUACGUGAAAUUGUUGAAAGGGAAGCGCCUAUGACCAGACUUGGGCCCGGUGAAUCACCCAGCGUUCUCGCUGGGGCACUUUGCCGGGCACAGGCCAGCAUCAGUUUGGCGCGGGGGAGAAAGGCUUCGGGAAUGUGGCUCCCUCGGGAGUGUUAUAGCCCGCUGCGUAAUACCCUGCGCCGGACUGAGGUACGCGCAUUGCAAGGAUGCUGGCGUAAUGGUCAUCAGCGACCCGUCUUGAAACACGGACCAAGGAGUCGUCUUCGUAUGCGAGUGUUCGGGUGUCAAACCCCUACGCGUAAUGAAAGUGAACGCAGGUGAGAGCUUCGGCGCAUCAUCGACCGAUCCUGAUGUUCUCGGAUGGAUUUGAGUAAGAGCAUACGGGGCCGGACCCGAAAGAAGGUGAACUAUGCCUGUAUAGGGUGAAGCCAGAGGAAACUCUGGUGGAGGCUCGCAGCGGUUCUGAACGUGCGAAUCGAUCGUCAAAUA
rnacentral:rRNA from 1 species